ACAAAAUGUGUACUAGUUCAGUGAAAAUAGAUGUCAUACAAAACUUCAAAACAUAAAUGAACUAAGAUUGAAAGUCCUACAAGGCUAUUUAACAUGCAUAAAAAUAAGAAGAUGAGUAUAAAAAAGAUGUGAUAUAAUUUCCAAUGAAAAACUAUAGGUUACUGUACAGCCUUCAACAAUGAGCAAAACCCAUACAACGUAAUACAAAUAUACAGUUGUAUAAAGAUGAAGGAAAAACAAACGACAACCACUGAAUUAGAGGCUGUUGCCUUGGGACAGGCACAUAUAUACAUACAUACAGAAUGUGGUUGGGUUAAACAUGUUAGCGGUAUCCCAACCCGCCCCCCAUACCUAGGACAGUGGUGUAACAGUACAACAUAAGAACGAACUAUAAAAAAAUCAGCUGAAAAAGGC
rnacentral:lncRNA from 1 species